GACGAACGCUGGCGGCGUGCUUAACACAUGCAAGUCGAACGGGCGUAUCGAAGAAGCUUGCUUUAAGAUACUUUAGUGGCGGACGGGUGAGUAACGCGUGAGGAGCUGUCCUAUGCAGGGGGACAACAGUUGGAAACGACUGCUAAUACCCCAUAAGCCGAGAAGUAAAAGGCUUUAUCCGGCAGAGGAGGUACUCGCGUCCUAUCAGCUAGUAGGGGAGGUAACGGCUCACCUAGGCGAAGACGGGUAGCCGGCCUGAGAGGGCGAACGGCCACACUGGAACUGAGAUACGGUCCAGACUCCUACGGGAGGCAGCAGUGGGGAAUAUUGGGCAAUGGGGGGAACCCUGACCCAGCGACGCCGCGUGGGUGAAGAAAUCCUUCGGGAUGUAAAGCCCUGUUGUAUGGGAAGAGCAGAAGACGGUACCAUACGAGGAAGCCCCGGCAAACUACGUGCCAGCAGCCGCCGUAA
rnacentral:rRNA from 1 species